rnacentral:misc_RNA from 1 species
GAUGAAGAACGCAGCGAAAUGCGAUAAGUAAUGUGAAUUGCAGAAUUCAGUGAAUCAUCGAAUCUUUGAACGCACAUUGCGCCCGCCAGUAUUCUGGCGGGCAUGCCUGUUCGAGCGUCAUUUCAACCAUCAAGCCCCAGGCUUGUGUUGGGGACCUGCGGCUGCCGCAGGCCCUGAAAACCAGUGGCGGGCUCGCUGUCACACCGGGCGUAGUAGAUUUGAUCUCGCUCAGGGCGUGCUGCGGGUUCCGGCCGUUAAAAAGCCUUUUUUACCCAAGGUUGACCUCGGAUCAGGUAGGAAUACCCGCUGAACUUAAGCAUAUCAAUAAGCGGAGGA